rnacentral:lncRNA from 1 species
CAAAGCAUGAAGUGAAGAGGAAAGGAAAGAACACAAACCCUAGGUGGGAAAAUUAAAGAAAAAGUGUGGGAUUUCAAGGGAUUAAGCUAAUAAAGGUAAAAUUUUGUGAUUUUAUCUUGUGAUUUACACUACCCAUGCUUUCUUUUUCAUUUUCCAUGCUUAGAACUCAAGUUUGCAUGAUGAACCCAUGUUGGCCGAAUUUGAGAGGAGAGGUUUUGAGCAUUGAUUUUGCUAGAUUUCAAGCUAAUUAAGUGUUUUUGGUUGUUUGGUAAUGGAAAGUAUGAAAAUCUAGCAAGGAAUCACUUUGUUCUUCACAAACCCACAAGAGGCCGAAUUUUCUAGGGAGGAUAUUGAGGCUGAAAUUUAUGAUAUUUCAUCAUAUUUUGGUGGUAUUUAAUGAUUGGUGAUGCUAGAAAUUUAAUGGGAAAUUUUGGCAUGAAAAUCUGAAUUUUUACUUAAUGUAUAGACAUGUGCGAUUUAUGGUUCGGACUGAUAAAUUGAAUCAUAUUCACAGUCAUUGAGGUAUUUUAAGUAUAAUUGGAGUGUAAAAAGUGAAAGAAAUCGAUUUGAAAUUAAAUUAGAGGUUUUAGCCAAAUUACACCGAGAAUAGUACAAAUUAGAUCGAAUACCGUAUUUAAACAGCUAUUCGGACAUUUUGCAUCACAUUUCGUGCAUUCAUAUAGAUUUAUAGAGCCUGAAAUAGUUUAUGAUAAAUUGACACAAUUUAUUGAAAUUCGUGUCACGUAUGAUGUAUAGGUGAUGAGCUCUCUAACAAGGGUAAAGAGAUUGUGCUCGAAAAUCGAGAAUAGGAGUAUAUCGAACUCCUAGUACAGUGAGUAACCUUACUAUCAUCUUAAUUAUCUAAAGUGGUUUUUAUCCGAUUUUGUAUUUUAUGGAAAAUGAGGUUAAAUGAUAAAUUUUAGGUUUUAUAAAUAAAAUGGGAUUAAAUGAAAUGAUUUUAUAAAUUGUCUUGAAAUUUAAUGAUGGCUUUGAAAAUAGAGUAAUUGGAGACCAUUUGAUGUAUUGUGAAUUUAUGUUUCUAAUGGAUUGGCUUAUGAUAAUAUUGGCAUGAAUGGUUAAUUGGCAAAUGUGCUGGAAAUGUAUGAAUUAUUGAUUUACCUUGAGAGGCUGUAAAAUAAAAUAAUUGUCAUGUCAUGCUAUUGUAAAUUUUAUUGAAUUUGUGGAUUAUAUAUUAAUUAGUCACUACAGUAUGGGGUUUCUAUGGACCAGCCUUUUAGAGGGGCACGGUAAACCCUAUUAUAUUCUUACCUCGAUCGGAGAGGCGCGUAGGGUAUCUCUUGGGAUAAAGUUUAGGGUUCACUUUACGCUAAACCACCAUGUGAGGGAGAACUCAGCCAACGUCAAGGAACGGCUAUGUUUUCUAAAUAAAAACAUGAUUAUGCGUACAUAACUUUUUAACAGUCUUGGCGGACUCGGUUAGAUGCCCAGCGCAAGGUAUCACCGAGUACGAGUUUUGGUACGAGCCAAAUUUUUAAGAAAUUCAUAAGCCAUGUUGAUUACUCGAUUUAUAUGAAUUGAUUUUAUUUGGUUGAAAUGAGUUGAAAGGUAAUGAAAUUACAGUAUGAUGACUUAUUUUAAUUGUCUCCAUUUACUCAACUUUAAAUGGUUUAGAUGGUAUCUGUUUACUCACUAGGAUUUUAUAAUCUCACCACCCUCGUUUUCAACCAUUUCAGGCCCGAGGUAGCUUAUGGAUCGCAGAUAUUGUCAGGGAUUAUAGUCGGCUUUACUACUCCAAAAACUAUAGGUUUACUGCCUUUGUGCACUUUUGUUUUUUAUGGGCCCACGAGUUACUGUAAAGUAAAUUUCAUAUCCCGGUUAUCUGUAUUAUAGUACAUAUGAAUUUAUUUAGCUUUUACAUUACAAAAAAUUAUUUACCGAUGACUCUAUAAAUAUUGUUUUACAAGAAAUUAGAAUAUUUUAUUGAAUAUUUUUAUUUUAUUCAAAUAGUUGCAAUAUCAUUUUUAAUAAAUAUUUUAGAUAUCCAAAUUUAUUUUAAAUCAUGAAAUAUGUGCUUUCCACUCAUCUACUACAUUUUUAGUCGGGUUCGAAAAAUUUCGAGAAAAAAUGACGUAAACGCCCUUAUGAGGCGAAAUUAUUUUUUCACAGUUUUGAAAGGGAAAAAGCUUAAAAUUCUUUAAAAACGAGGUUUGACGAUGAUUACUCAUAGGGGAGAUGAGAAAAAUGGUACUAAAGCCUUACGGGGUUCCGGUUGGCACUCCGGGUAACGAAUGUCUUCCAGAACGUCGCGGCGGUUGUCACAGGCUCGAGGAGAGUACCGGGUCAUGACAAAUUUCUUCUAAUCUUUUAGACAAAUUCGAUCAUUUUGUUCCCUUUGAUAAUAGAAAUCCCUCAAUUAUUUACCAGAACCCUCCAAAGAUUGAUUGUUUCAGGCCCACUACAACAAUGGUCUGAAUAGGGAAAAGUCUACUAAUUGAGGUUGUAUUUUAUUUCAUUUCAUUCAAUUUGAUUGGUUAAUAAGGUUGUUGGAGUGAUAGGAAAAAAAGCCUAAUGUUUUUUUGUAAUUUUUUAAAGUGAAAAUAGGAAACCAAUUUAAUGAGGGGAAUUGUGUAUCUUAAUUA